GAUCUUAGAGUUUCAUUGGAUGAAACGUCCCUCUAAUCAAGGUAAGAUUGUAGGUUCGAAUCCUACUAUGCCA